GGACUACCAGGGUUUCUAAUCCUGUUUGCUACCCACGCUUUCGUGUCUCAGCGUCAGUUAUGGUCCAGAAAGCCGUCUACACCACCGGUGUUCCUCCUGAUAUCUACGCAUUUCACCGCUACACCAGGAAUUCCACUUUCCUCUCCCACACUCUAGUCCCUCAGUAUUCGGCGCACCCUCCCGGUUGAGCCGGGAGAUUUCACACCAAACUUAAAGAACCGCCUACACACCCUUUACGCCCAGUAACUCCGAACAACGCUUGCUGCCUACGUAUUACCGCGGCGGCUGGCAC
rnacentral:rRNA from 1 species